UGGUUUACGAUCGUUCGAAAACUUGCUCCAGAGAGAAAGUGCAGUGGUUGACGAUCAAUCUCGAAAACUCGCGUCCUUCUGGUUCUUAGAGAGAAAAUGAAGAGAUGAAAUGGCUGCCGAUCAAUCGAAAUUGCGUCUGGCUCUCGUUAGGUUAUUGAGUUGCGGAUUUCGAUCACAACGUAUUCUAGAGAGAGAAAGUGAAGAGAAGAAUUGGAACAUGGUGGUGAUCUCAAUGAGGCUGUGUCAAUGCAGAUUUCACCGAAAGAGAUAGAAACAUAUUCAUUAAAUUUCAUAUGGCACAUAAUUAGAAACACUAAUUAUAAGUCUUUUUUUCACCUUUUUACUUUUUGAAACAUUUCUCUAUACUACUGUUCUAGAUGUCAUGAAACGUCUAUUGCUUCUCCACAAGUUGACCCGAACUUCACCAGAAGUGUAUUUGAUAGCGGACCAGGGCUCAGAACUGGUGAACCGUUCAUCUCCCAUCCAAGAGAAGCUAGACAGAUUCCCAUUGAGGUCAAGGAUGGGCCCGGCUACAAAAUCAGCACGUUCUGGACAUGCUCCUAGAAUCGAGGAUGUCACUGAGACUGCAAUAGAACAUGUCCCAGAGACCAAGUGCUCCACAAGUUGGUGAUUUACUGGAUUAUGGUAGUGAAGAAGAAAUGAUUCGGGCUGCAAUUGGAGCUUCCAAACAAGAUUCCCAGAA